rnacentral:rRNA from 1 species
CUACGGGCGGCAGCAGUUUCGAAUAAUUCACAAUGGGCGCAAGCCUGAUGAUGCGACGUUACGUGAAGGAAGAAAGCUUUAAGUUGUAAACUUCUGUCGUUAAGGAACAAAAAAUUAAGUAGUACUUUUUAUAUUGAGUUAACUUAAAAAGGAAGCAGUGGCUAAUUUCCUGCCAGCAGCCGCGGUAAUACGGGAACUGCAAGCGUUGCUCGGUUUUAUUGGGCGUAAAGAGUACGUAGGCUGUUAUAUAUGUUAAUUGUUAAAUUUUAAAGUUAAUCUUUAAAUUUGCUGUUAAAACUAUAUAACUAGAAUUUGAAAGAGGUAAGUGGAAUUUCAAGUGUAGCGGUGAAAUGCGUAGAUAUUUGAAGGAACACCAAUGGCGAAAGCAACUUACUGGGUGAUAAUUGACGCUAAAGUACGAAAGUAUAGGGAGCAAAAGGGAUUAGAUACCCGAGUAGUC